CCCCGUGCCCGAGCCCUCGCCGUUUCUUCCUCCCCCGCGCGCCCGACGCCGAUUCCGAGCCCUAACCGCCGGCCACGGCAGUUCCUCCUCCUCCUAUUUCUUCCUCCCGAGCCGCACACCCGAAGCCUUCUCCUCUUCUCUACUGCCAUCACAGCGCCCUCUCCUUGCCCUAACUUGCGCUGCAACAAUCGCCGUCGUCGCCUCCCGAAUUCCUUUCCCCCUUCUCUGGUCCGACGAGCCACCGCUGACCGAAGUCUUCUUCCUCUUCCUCCCUGUUCAAGCACUGCCGACGCACGGAGCACUGCCGACACUGUGCCCUAGCCGAACCCUGCCGACGCCGUGCCCUAGCCGAGCCCUACCGACGCUGUGCCCUAGCCGAGCCCUGCCGAAGUCGUGCCCUUGCACUGUCGCCGGCCACAGAAUAGGGUUUUCAAUCUGUUGCAGCUAAUUUUGGUUCAGUUGAGGGGAUUAAAGGAGGAAGCUGUUAAGGUUGAUGCUGUCAGGAGAGAGUUCCAGUUGCUGGUCCCUGCAGACCUCGAGGAUAUGAUUGGUUUUCUUUUGGUUUCUUUUCUGUUCUAGACUAUUUUGAACUUGUGAUGUUUUAGAUUAUGUUUUGAUCUUGUAUUGUUUAGAUACUUGGAGCUUGUAUGGAUUGUAUUUGUCGAUGGAUUUUGGUA